rnacentral:rRNA from 1 species
GCAAGAUUAAAACUCAAAGGAAUAGACGGGGACCCGCACAAGCGGUGGAGCAUGUGGUUUAAUUCGACGAUACGCGAAGAACCUUACCUGGCCUUGACAUAGAAAGAACUUUCCAGAGACGGAUUGGUGCUAGUUUACUAGAGCUUUCAUACAGGUGCUGCACGGCUGUCGUCAGCUCGUGUCGUGAGAUGUUGGGUUAAGUCCCGCAACGAGCGCAACCCUCGUGUUUAGUUACUAACAGUUCGGCUGAGGACUCUAAACAGACUGCCUGGGUAACCAGGAGGAAGGUGAGGACGACGUCAAGUCAUCAUGGCCCUUACGGCCAGGGCUACACACGUGCUACAAUGGGGUAUACAAAGAGCUGCAAUACCGUGAGGUGGAGCAAAUCUCAUAAAAUAUCUCCCAGUUCGGAUUGAAGUCUGCAACUCGACUUCAUGAAGUUGGAAUCGCUAGUAAUCGUGAAUCAGCAAUGUCACGGUGAAUACGUUCCCGGGUCUUGUACUCACCGCCCGUCACACCAUGGGAAUUGAAUUCAUUCGAAGCGGGGAUGCUAAAAUAGCUACCUUCCACAGUGGAUUUAGUAACUAGGGUGAAGUCGUAACAAGGUA